CGCCUGUUUAUCAAAAACAUCGCCUCCUGCAACUAUAUUGAGUAUAGGAGGUCCAGCCUGCCCAGUGACUACGGGUUCAACGGCCGCGGUAUUUUGACCGUGCAAAGGUAGCGCAAUCACUUGUCUCUUAAAUAGAGACCUGUAUGAAUGGCUAGACGAGGGCUUAACUGUCUCCCCCUUCCGGUCAGUGAAAUUGAUCUAUCCGUGCAGAAGCGGGUGUAAUUUUACAAGACGAGAAGACCCUUUGGAGCUUAAGGUAUAAAAUUCAACCACGUUAAACGACUCUACAUAAAGCAAGAACUUAGUGGCGAAUGAAGUUUUACCUUCGGUUGGGGCGACCACGGAGGAGAAAAAAGCCUCCGAGUGGACUGGGUUAAUCCCCAAAGCCAAGAGAUACAUCUAUAAGCCGCAGAACAUCUGACCAAGAAUGAUCCGGCUGACAAAGCCGAUCAACGAACCAAGUUACCCUAGGGAUAACAGCGCAAUCCUCUCCCAGAGUCCAUAUCGACGAGGGGGUUUACGACCUCGAUGUUGGAUCAGGACAUCCUAAUGGUGCAGCCGCUAUUAAGGGUUCGUUUGUUCAACGAUUAAAGUCCUACGUGAUCUGAGUUCAGACCGGA
rnacentral:rRNA from 1 species